UGUCUGCUUUCUGGCUUGUCUAGUUCCCCUGUAAAAGGCAAAGGAGGUUUCCAGAUAGUGAAUACCUUUUCAGUUGUUCUGAAACCCAUCACAGCCUCUCAGGCUCACAUCCAGUAACAGCUGAAGGAGGUUGUAAGAAGCUGCACUCCAACUCACAGCUGCAAUUGUUUGAACAGCAGAUUGAUAUGAAGGAAAACCAGCAACUAUGCCAUUGAAUUAGAAAUAUAUUAAUCCAUGCAGCAAAAAUUGGGUGCAAUUUGCCAACUUGUAAGGAGGUAACAUACCUGCUUCUGGCACCUACAUAUAAGCAACUGUUGCGUGCAAAUAGGAUGCUUGGAAACUAAACACCAAAGCACAUCACUGUUUAUAUGCAUUAAGAUGGUUCAUUUAUUUUCAUAUUAUUACUCAAAAGCUUUAAUUACCUUUUACUCUAGGAAAAAAAAAUCACUAGCAUCCUGCAGUUCCUCUUAUAAAUCAUAGCCUGAUGUGGAAAAUAUGAGAGUCACCUUCCCCUUAAAGGGAAGUGUGAAGUGUUAAGCACUGAGAAAACUUGUUUUUCUCUCCCUUCUAACUAUGCUUGAACUUCAAGUUUUGAAGCAGAACAGGAACAUGGAAACGCUGCUUAUAGCCUUCCUUUAAAAACUACCUGAGUAUGCUCUUUAAAAAGUCAGAAAGCCCAAUCCUAGGGCAUCCAGGAGGUCGUGUCCUCACACAGGGGCAUAAACCUCCAGAGAGAGCACACCUCUGCCUGGAGCCUCGCUGUACUGGUUUGCUAUUCGGGACUUUCUGCAAGAAAAUGGUACAUUUGCUAGUUUGGCAGAGGGCAGGUGUCCCCAGCUGGCAGAGACCUCACCUGGCGCUUUGCCUCCCGUGCCAUCAGGUGGCACUCCAGGCUCACGCUGCGCUUUCCUCCCUCCCUCUGCCGCUGUCUCCAGAGGGCACCGCCAAGGAACAAAAGACUCAGGGUCUGGUUUUACUCCAUUUCGAAGAGGAAAUGCAGUUAGAAAAAAAAACCUCCGAUGAAAAAUAGAUAACCAUUUGUGAAGCCGAUUCCCUGCCAGAUACAAGCGAAGUUAAACAAAUGCCAAGCAAAGGCAUCAUUGUGGAGUGUGCCUGCAGUCCAAGACUAUGGAAAGGGAGGAAAAUGAUCUAUUUUCUGUGUGAUUAAAAAACUGCACAAUGAUAAAUGAACAGCAUAUGAAACUUAUGAAAAGUGCAGCCUAGCUGCUUUGCAGCUCAGCAGGUUCUGAGAAUGUUCCUGUCUCUGAGAUCUUAUAAGCCUGUCAGCAUCAAUCUGCAUUGUCUGGUGCUGUAGUAAAGUGAGUAGCGACAAAAAACAGUCCUGAUGGUGCUGCUGGUGGAAACUCUAGUUUUUUCCUGUAUCUUCGUGUCUCAGAAGCAAAAGAAAAAUAAUAAUCACAGUUUAUCAGAGCUUAAAGCUUUUUAUUAACUCUCUGUUUUCUACAAGAAACAGAGAAAAUUUGUGGCGGAGUUUAAUAAAAACUUAAAAUUUCCCUUAAAUCAGCAUUGCUUCUAUCUAACUGCAAGUCUUGCUUGAGAUACCUAUGGACAUUAGUUAGCACAAAGAUUUGGGAAUGCAGAAAACUUGUGGCAAGAUCAUACAUCACAUAAAGGCCAAUAAGAGACACUAUGCAAUACUGAUUUUUCAUCUUUUACAGAUCAAAUAGGUAGAUGACAGCAGGUUGCUAGAGAUGUUUUGCUGUAUUUUUGUAGGUGGCAGGAUUUUUGUGCAAUAAUAGCAAGUUGGGCAACAGAAAGGGCCCUGUAAACAUUGCUGUUAACCACGGGAGACAGCAGUGCCUGACAGCAGGAGCUGUGUCAUGCUAAAUUAGAAAGGGCUUGAACCAAGCCCACAGAGCCCAUAAUAUCCCAGGAAUCAGUGUUUGUGGAUCUCAGCAUGGCCUGUCUUUAUCUGAAAUAAUUUAGUCACUUUAAAGAGCAAGGCAUUUCAACAAAGCAUCUCCUCUGUAGCUCCUCUCCUGUUCCUCCCUCCCUAUUCAUUGCUGGUGACAGCAGAGAUGUUUCCACGACAACAAGCCAUGCUGUUGCCUCAGGUGACAAACUAUAACUUCAAUAAACAAUCACUGAAAACAGCUUCAAACAAUUAAUUAGGUAAUGGAAAUGUUAUUUUAAUAGGGCUUAGAUGCUUUGGAAGUAGUUACAGACCAAGUUCUGAUCAAAAAUUUGUCUAGAAUCAAAGCCAAAGAUGCCAUGUGAAGGUCAGGAUGGAUUCACUGUCUGAAUACUCUAAGAACCAUUUUUUUUAAAAAUCCUUCAAGAUCAAAACAAAUUCAAUCCAGAAGAUGCAAUGCAAAACAAUUCAGGGUGGGUUUUUUUGUUUGUUUGUUUUUGUUUUUAAAUUUUGUUCAAAGCACAUACUGGCAGGAAUCUACCAACUUGCUCACUGAAAGCAGUCCGUGGCUGACACACUCCCCAUUUGUGUGCCCUUGCACCAGUGUGACAGACAGAUGAUGAGCCCAGAAAUUGGUUUUGCAAUAAAUGGAUUUUUCAGUUUUCUCUUUACAGAAGAUGCUUUCCUACAGUUAUAAAUGGAUGAUUCAUAAAUCUUUCCUAAUACUGCUUCUCAUAACAGUUCAAUUGAUCUUUAAUCGUUGUUUAAAAAGUGAAUCUCCAUGGAGUGCUUCAAUCCUAUAGCCUGAAGUUUCUCUAGCCCAGGACAGCUCCUCUGUCUAAGCUUUGAGGUACACAGUCUUUAAGUGCAGAUGUCUACACUGAGUGUAUGCCUGUGCUUUAUAUCACAGUCCUAGUUAGUAGGGACACUAUUUGGGGCUAGUAGUUGCCCUGGCAGAAUUUCUUUUUUUGCUUUGUUUAUGAUAUUAAGUUUCUCCAGAAUAGUGCAUCUAUGAAGCAAGAGCAAGAAAGACAAGGGGUGCCACCUUUCCUGUCUGUCCUAGGGUGACUUUAUGAUGCUCAUAUCCCCAUUUGUCUAUUUAGCCCACAAAUAAAUUUUACACCUAGAAGAUUAGUUACAAGAGCAAAGAGGGGGAAGAAGAAGUUUGUGGGCUGUGCAAGGACCUGCCUUUGCAGUGCCAGAUGUGCUCCUACUGCCCUCAGAGGCUGCUUAUGGACUGUGCUUGUGGGUUAAGUCCUGCCUUUGUGCACAAAAUAUUUUCAGUCUGUGAAUGAGGGACUCUGCACCGCUCCUGCUGCGCGUUCCUCUCAGGGAUUAACAAUGGUCCUUGGAGCUCCCUUUGCAGGGCAAUGGGCUCACCCCUGUGUGUCAUCACACAGCUGGGAUACAGCCAUUGAGAACAACGCAGAAUGGAACAGAAUGUGCACUAAAUACUGGCAAGAAAGGUUUAGAGGCAGAAAUUGGUGAAUUGUCUAAACUAACUUUGGCAGAUGCCCUGUUGUUUUUGUUAUAACUUUGUCAGGUCAAGAAUAAAAUCCAGGUUUGCUGCAGGCAUGAUAAUGGAACCUUGAAACAGCUGUUGUAUGGGGUGUCCACAUAAAGCAGAGAGGCUUGACUCCAGUUGCACAAACCCUCAGAAGACAAGAACUGUGGGAAUUGUGUAUCUGGUAAUUAAGGUACUACCCAGGAAGGGAAAAGAUUGGGAUUCUAAGCUGUACAAUGCAGGGUAUACAAUGUAUAUGCAGGGUAUACAUCCUGCAUCACAGCAACUCUUGUGAUCACAACCCUGUGCCUAUUUCACUCUGAGUUUUCAUUGUGGGACUCCUUUAUUUCUCCUUGGAAAGUGUUGAAGAUCUUGUUUUGGUCCUAUGGGCAUAAGAUCAAUACACAAAACCUCAGGGUUUCUCUGCAAAAAGAUGCAUUUUCUCCACUUCUCUUCCUGCAGGAGAGCAAAGGAUGUGGGUGUAGGCCAUGACAGCACCCUCUUAUUUGUGCAGGGAAGGGAGAAGGUUCAGCCAGGUGCCUUUGGCAGGUGGAUGUGCAUAGAGCAGUUUUGUCCCUCACUGCUGCAUGAGCUUUGUGUCUCGUGCACAGCAGCUGCCUCUUUGUGGUGGAUUUUGUAAUUGAAGGUUUAAACAGUUAAACUGCUUUCUUAAUGCAUUUGUGGUUGCUAAGAGACAACCUCUUCAAUUCUGUAGAUCUUCCACUUGAAAUAUAGCACAUUGGCAAAUGGGGCUUUCCCCUCUGACAGCCCAGGAGAAGGGGAGCUGACAGGGCACUCCCCCUUGGGCUGGUGAGCAACUGCUCCUGCAGCUGCCUGAGGGAGCUGGGCUUGCUCCAGGGCUGGGAAUAACUGAUCAAUAGCUGUGAGAAACAGAGAGUGCAGCUGUUCAUCCUGGAAAGGUGUUAGCAGAGAUGUCAGAGGACGAUAAUUGAACGUGCAAUGUUUUCCUCCCCACCUCUUCCACAAGGCAGUCCAAGAUCUGCAUAAAAUUUCUGUGAGCAUCACCUUCUGUAUUGCAAAUAGAUCACAAUGAUGGGAUCUUUCCUACCUGUGGGAAACCUCUGCUUCUUUCUGCACCUUCCCACUAAAGUGAGGAGGAGCGUGGUCCAAAGCACCUUGCAGAGCUGCUGGAGGUGUUCAAGCCUCACCAAAGGGAAAUAAAACCAAGAACCUGCCAGAACUGGGGUGUUAGCAGAAGUUAUCAACAGUGGGGUAUCACUCUGGUGUCUUGCUUGGACAACAUUUUUAUUACAGCUAUAGAAUCGAGGAAUAUCAACCUAUUUUCACCCAAUCUGACAACCAAAUCCCAAUUUCAGUUAUUUAUUUUUGUUUAUAACAUACAGUGAUUCCUCCCUGCCACCCCCACGCUGCCCCCAGAAUUGUUUCUCCUGUUUGACAAAUGAUGAUGAAGCCAUAGAGGGUGGUGAUGGGGUUUCUGGACUUCUUUGAGCUAAGUACUCUUCUUGAAGGACGGUCAUAGUGCUGUAUUCACACACCUAUUGCCAGCUGAAGAGUUCGGUCCUGUAUUUAAAAUUGAUCUGCUUCAAUUAUGCUAUUGCAUGGGACAUGCAUGUUAGUAGUAUGAUUAGUACUAGUUUUAAAACAAGGAUUGGCUGUCCAGGAAACCAGCCUGCAUACUUUGACUGAGUCACUGCUGUAGGGUUUAUUUAUUUGAGCAGCCAUGUUAUGAAAACAAUGUACAGCAUUGUCAUGAUACUUGAAAUAACUGAUAAAUUGAAUUGUUGGUUUAAGGAUCUUGUCCUACUCAUUGACUGCCUCAAAUGGCAAAUGGAAAGACAAGUAAUUAGCUGUACCCUGCCUGGCUGAUCCACACUCAUGGCAGCUUUCAGAGCUAAGGGAACUGAGGAGUUUAUGCAGUCAAAUGCUCCACAUAAAUUGCUUUGUAUCAUGGGCCAGAUUUAGGAUCUACAAGUGCCUAAAGAGUUGCAUUCACUUUCACAUGAGUAAAAGUUUGAUCCUUAUCCAACUUGAGAGAGAAGUAAAAUAAAAUUACACUGCUACGAAA